CGUGGGGCUUAUAUUCCAGUGGGGAGGACCUCUCCACCCACUGUGUGAAGAACAAACAGUAAGGGCACAAGGGUAGAAGUGGGAAGACUAGUUAGGAAGCCAUUGCAGUAACACAGGGAAGAGAUGAUAAUAGCUCGGACCAGGGUAGAGUCUAUGGAAGUGGUAAGAAGUGGUUUGAUGCUGAAUGAGUUAUGAAGGUAGAGCUGACA
rnacentral:lncRNA from 1 species